GUUAAUUUCCCUUUUUAAGUUAUAAUCAAGGCAUAAAAUACACACCCUAUUUAAUUUACGUCAUAAAAUAUAUUGUCAAAAAAUAUAAUAUAGUAUAAAUGUGUUAAAAGGGUCAACCCGCCAACCCGACUAGGUUAACCCAAAUCUGACCCGUUAACCUAAACGGGUUCACGGGUUCAAUUGAAACUGACCCGAACUCGUUUAGACUAAACCUAAACCCGCGAAUUUCGUGUUAGGUUCGUGUCGGGUUUUCAGGUUGUGUUAAAAAUUGACACCCCUACUAAUUCUUUGUUUUUAACUUAUUUGUCCAUUUCACUCUAUCAGCAUGCACCACCAUCGCACAACGGCGACAUCAUCGUCGGUAGGCACCAUCGCACAGUGGCGACAUCAUCGUCGGUAGGGGCGCAACUUUCAAGGGGCCAGGGGUGGGGGGAGGGACGCCCGUCCCCCCGAAUUUUUCGCUCAGUAGUGUUAUGUCCCUCGGUGAAAAUUUUCAAGCUUCGCCACUGAUCAUCGGACCACUGUCAUGCGUCGGUAGCAGGGUUAUCCAUGGUCUCCGGUGGUCCGGAUGGUGACCAAAACGACGAGUCCCACACGGUCCGAAGCCUCAAGUGGAUGGUGCAAUGUUGACGGUGUUGUCCUUCUUGGUCGCCGUCGAAAUGGCCAGUGGUGGCGUUGGGGUGAUGCAAUCAUGCAACUAUCUUUCUUGAUGGAGGUGGGUGUCAUCACACAAGUGGGCUAAGGUUAUAACUAUAACUGGUGGUGAUAAAUGUCUUCUAUGUUUUUUGAGAGAAAAAAAAUGUCUGUGUGCGUGUCAUGUGUGUGUGAAUAUGGUGGUAGUAUCUGGUAUAAUGGUAUG